AGUGAACGCUGGCGGUAGGCCUAACACAUGCAAGUCGAACGGCAGCACAGUAAGAGCUCGCUCUUACGGGUGGCGAGUGGCGGACGGGUGAGGAAUACAUCGGAAUCUACUUUUUCGUGGGGGACAACGGAGGGAAACUUACGCUAAUACCGCAUACGUCCUACGGGAGAAAGCAGGGGAUCUUCGGACCUUUCGCGAUUGAAUGAGCCGAUGUCGGAUUAGCUAGUUGGCGGGGUAAAGGCCCACCAAGGCGACGAUGCGUAGCUGGUCUGAGAGGAUGAUCAGCCACACUGGAACUGAGACACGGUCCAGACUCCUACGGGAGGCAGCAGUAGGGAAUAUUGGACAAUGGGCGAAAGCCUGAUCCAGCCAUACCGCGUGGGUGAAGAAGGCCUUCGGGUUGUAAAGCCCUUUUGUUGGGAAAGAAAAACAGCAGGUUAAUACCCGGCCGUUCUGACGGUACCCAAAGAAUAAGCAACGGCUAACUUCGUG
rnacentral:rRNA from 1 species